ACGGCUCUCCAGAGCCGUCCGUGACAACACGAAAAUGCGGUAGACGCUACACCCCACCCCGCACCCCAGGAAGGCACAGUGUCUAGGAAUAAAUUUUAUUUUAGAAAAAGUAGAAAACCUAUGUGAAGAAAACUGUAAAACUCUACUAAAGGCCACAAAAGAUAUGAAUUCAAAGACUGAACUUACAUGGGUAUGAUUUUCUCUAAAUCUCUUUCUAAUCGAUGUUAUCUGAGUGAAAAUACCAAUUUUUUUCCUAAGGCUACUUGACAAAAUUACCUUUAUACUUCUCUGGAGGCAGAAGCCUUACAUAAGUCAGGAAAGGAGGGGACUAAAGGGGUCAGCACACUGUACGUGAAGUGCACCCGGGAAGCACAGCAGGGGUAGUGGUCCCACGCUACCCAGAGACGGCAGUGCCACACCCAGGCACUCGGGGUGGAGGCGAGUGGCACAUGCAUAAAAUUAUACAUGGGAAUGAUGGUUCUCUUAAAACUCUGUAGAGAAAACCCACGGAUAACUUAGAUGCCCACCGCAGAGGAAGAUGAAGAAGGUCACCAUGGCGCCCCCUCCCAGAGCGCUUCCCCUGAGUGGCCGUGGGAGGGGGGGAUUUCAUAGAACGUUUUUUUAGCUGAGUCAGUACCACUUUUGGAAUACAAAAUACAGUAGUUUUAAAUAUUCAUGAAAGGACUCUUCUUAAGUUUAUGUUCCUCUCCAACUCUUAAAGCUGGGAAGAUACACUUUGACUUUAUCUAAGAAGAGUUAGGAGGGCAUUUCAAAAGUGGAAUGGCAGGAGUAGGCUGCACGUAGAGCUGUGCCAGGGUCCCUUACAUGCAGACACAGUGGGAUGCCACCACCCAGGGCAGCCAGGCCUGGGCCAUCAGGACAGUGCUGUUUAAUGGACUCAAAGCAGUUUCUCCUAUGUGCAUGCUGGUAGCGUCUCCCAAAGGACUGCUGUAGGGCUACCUUUGUGCCCUAUCCACGGGCUGUGGGUGCUGAGAAGCAAGACAAUCCUGCCUCCCACAUCUGUCCACACCAGAGCCUGCACAGCUGGGUUGUCCUGCAGGAUAGCAGCCUGGGGGGGCAUACCACAGACGGGGCCUCCCGUGGCCUUAGGGGAGUGAGGCAGGACUCACUCUUUCUUCUGGCCAAACCUGCUGCCUGCCCUAUGCACCGAGGGUCAGUGGCUCUGUGCACCUGGAUUCUGUUGGCCUCCUGCAACUCCCUGGGAGUGUGGUGGGGGGCAGAGGAAGCCUGGGGUUCUUAGGGGGCUGCCCAGGCCCUCAGAGGCCCCUGCAGCCUUGGGUCAUCAGGACAAGAACCUUCCCAUCAUGGCCUUGGUCCAUUAUGGUGUACAGGAAGACACUCCUCAAUGAGGUGGGCUACAGAGUAACAGGGCGGUGAGGACAACUAGAUUACAGAAAGAAACAAGGGCUCCUUAGAGAAGGGACUGACUCUGCAGCUGGGACAGGAUAGACCAGUAGAGCCUGGAGCAUCAUCUUGUAGUACCAGAAAGUAGGGAAGUGCUUGAACAAGAGCAUACACACACAGUGAUAGGUACAUGUACCUGGGACAUGUACCUGGGACGUGUACAUAUACCUGGGACAUGAGCCAACUAAAGAUCAAAGGUGGGACAAUUUGAGCAACACACUAAUGAUACUAUUGGACCAUGACCCAGAGUGUAACUAAAUGUGAUGGUUGGUGAAUGGGGA